GAAGUCCAGCCUCGGGAAAAUAUUUCUCCUUUCAUGAAAGGACAGUCCAUGUGUGGCCACUCACUCCAUUGUUCUAAUCGCUGUCACUAUUCUGAUGCCUAAGGGGAGUCAGCUUAAUGAGCUGUGAAGGCUAUAACCCCUCCAAGAGAGCUGAUCCGUGUUGCUUGGGCAUCUUCUGUUCCCAUCAGUAUGAGGACAAGGCAGCGCAGCUGGCUGGUGACCCCAGUUGCACCUACUGCGAGGGAGGACCCCCGACCACUCCUGUGGUUGGAUUACAGAGGAACUAGGUGGAUGGACCAGUGCUUAAUCUGUUCUUCCUCUGAGCAGCCUUUAUAGCCAUGGGUCUGCUGCUAUUCAACAGCACCUCACAGGAUAGACAAAUCCUAUCAGCCCACACGUGUUUCAUGGGUUAGUGUCUAACAUGAUCCCUGUAGCUCUGACUUCUGGUGGAUUUAUUAUCUGGGUCUUACAACUCCUUGGUGUCUUAAGGACCAUAAUCUGUAAAAUGUGUGGUGGGUAAAACAACUAGCCAGAUUGCCAUUCCUAUUGUGUUAUUGGCCAUAACUCUGCCAAGGGGGCUCAGAAAGCUGUAAAUCUGACGUGAAUUUAUAGCAUCAGGCUGAAGUAGAGCCAAAGACAAGAAAUCCCCAUCGCUUACUAACAGGUGAUGGCCAACAUGCCAAAACCCUCAGAGCUGGCUUAUUGUGAGUUAAAAGUAACAUCCAGUUUCAACUGGCCUUAACCCAGCCCAGUUCUAAACAUUCAACGUGCAUUUAUUUGCCUCUACAGCUCAGACCCUACCUGACCUAGAUCUUUACAUUUCUGUGCUAGCAGUUCAUUCUUUAUCACUAAUGAUCUUUCUGGAGCCAUUUGAUUUGUCUGUGCAGUGACACAUGCUAUUUGGAUAAACCACGAUUUAUUCCCUCGCUGGCUCUGCACGUGGAGUUUGGUGACAUGUUUCACAGGAGAUCACCUGUGUUGAAAGCCUGAACAUGAAAAUCAAUCUACCGAUGACCAAAAGGGCAGAGCAAACAACAUCCCUGUGGAGUUGGUGUUUUUGGCCUUGCCGUUCAACAGAUGUGAUCCGAGAGCUCCCACAACCCAUGCGAAGAUGUGGUUCACAUAAUUAAUGCCAGGUUGGCUUCUUGCAUGUAGGACUGCGGAGAUGGAGAGAAAGCGGGCAGCCCGAGCUUGUAAAGGGAAAUAAACAACACAAAACAACAACAACAGCAAAAACCGUUUCUCUGAGUAAAUUCUGUGAUUAGACUCUAAGGAACCGGCUUGUCUGGCUGGCUGGGGACUGAGGAAAAAUAAACCUGGCAGCUUCUGGGUCCUGAAGUUUCCCCUCGCAGCUCUCCUCUUGUCAGCAUUUGAGAGAAAGAAGUCAACUGAUGUCAUCUGAAAAUCACAUGGAAAGUAGGCAUGUUUUCAUCACACGGAAAAUGAAAAAAACAAGCUCUUGACUUUUCUCAACUUAAUGCUGUCAGAUCCAAAGGAAAUUAAAGAAAGAUAUGUUUGAAUUUAGGAACCUGAUUAAAGAAACACCUUGGAAAGUAGCCCCUUUGUGCUGGACUUUCUUAGGUAGAAUUUAUUAGAAGCAUCCCAAGUGGCAGGCAUCCCUUUUAUUUUCUUUUUCUCAUGUAAGUUGGGAAGCUCUUUGUUUCUUUCUCAGAUGCUUAAUGCUAAAGGAAGUACAAAACAGGAAAGCUUCUUUUAAUCAGGGGGCUAUUUUCAAAGCUUGCAACAGUAUGUUACAUUGUAUCUAUCCAGGAAGACAUUAAAAAAAAAACAGCACUUCUUUUUCCUGCUGUAACUGUUGAAAUUCAUCUCCAACCAAUCCAACUUCACAUACGUUCUUUUUAACAAAGGAAGGAAAGAGAGAAGAGAAAAUAAAGAAGGAAUAAAUCGACUGUAAUGUGGCAGAUGCCUUCCUCGCUGCUUAUAAUUGUAUAAAGAAACAAUAUGAUGCAGUAAAACUCGGAGGAUUUUAUUUGGUUUAUUAGCUCUGACUGCAUCCCAAGCUGUCUCAGUGCUCCAAUUUUAGACAACACAUGACAUCAUAAUUGCUUCUGGCACUUUACAGUAAUAGAUACUGGUGAGAGUUUUAAGCACCCCUCCCCAACUUUAUGAGUACUUCUUUGGAGAAUAGCAGCCUCUCAUCCUUCUCAUUUGCAGAGCAUGCACAUUUUGACGGAGGUAGCUUUCCACUAUGUUGCUUGCAAAGAUAUCUGCCCUAUUUAAGUUCGAAGGCAGCUUUCUUCAAUCCACCAAAUAGACUCUCAGGGUUUCACAUAACACCUACCAGCUUACCUGGUGCUAUACACCUGGCCAGGGUCCUGAGGUGGGCAGGUUACCAAAAUUAGCCCCGACCAGGGCAGCAAUUAAUCUAUUCUCAGAAAACCCAGAUCCCGAAAGUAAUACCCUGGACCACUUUGUUGUAGUCCUGAGAUAGUAUUUAGAUCCUCAAAAUAUAUGGAGGGAUUUACUUUCCUUCUAGCUUGGAUGACCUAUGCUGUGGGCUUAAGCCUCAGCUAACGAGCCAGUGGCAGGGAGAUAGCUAAAUGAAGUUACCGACACAAAUGUGAGUUUAUGACUGACCCAAGCACUGGAUGAUAAGGGCAUCUUUAUAAAUAUGUGAAGCUGAUGUGGGCUGUGACUGCCACACAGCAGAUUAGCAUUGUUAAACUGUGUCGCAGUCCACACGGUGCCUGGCUUGAAUAUUUAUUACGUUCUUUAAUCUUGCUGAGCAAACAGGCUAUAUUUAUCAGCAAAGGGAAGGAGCUCCCCUUUCAAGGGUCAGUGUGUCCAGAAAGGCUUCAUAAAGACAUUCAUUGUUAGAGCUGGCAGGGUUGGUGAUCAUUUAAGCCCCUUCUUUAUAUGUGGGGAAAGAGAACCAGAAAUGGUAAGUGACUUGUCCAAGGUCACGUAGCUAUUAUGUAGUGGUGGCGAGACUGGUCUUCUGCUCUUCUGAUUUCUAGGGAAUGUUCUUUUCAUUGACCCAAGCACCCUCAUAGCUGGGGAGCAGCCUAUGAACUUACAAAUAGUUUCUGCUGUCCUGCAAAAUCACAUGGUGAUGGCGAUCUUGAGUUAUUUUAUGUUCUCUCUCAGAUGUCGCUUCGCACUGGCCUCUGGGAGGAACAGAACAAAUUUCUCCAGUCAUCCCACUGCCUGGGCCGCAAUUAACAUGUUGUGACAUGACCUUCUCUUCGCCUCAUUGAAGUUCAUUUAAGGCUCAUUUCUUUAAGACCCUCUCCUCACUUGUGGCUAUGAAUGGUGCAGCCAUAAAUAGUUACAUGUUGCAAUGUGAGGCCAGAGCCAAUUGGAAAUAAACCCUCUUCUGGGUCCAGGACUCUAUAUGUGUCUUUUAUGGUUUUUAACACUUUCUACUUUGAAUCACCAUCUUAUGUUCUCAUAUAAUACUGCUCUUUACUAUAUUGCAAAUGUCCAAGACUGGUAUUACUACCUCUGUUUUACAGAUGAGUAAACCAAGAGUUUAAGAGACUUUUGUAAGAUAAAUGAAAACAAAUUAGCCGAAUGACUGAGGAUCCAGUAUGAAAACCAAGAUAUCUAAUUCCUAGUCGGAUCUCAUUUCUACCCCCACACAAUGCCAUCUCCCUCCAAUGUCUUGCACAUAAACAGGCGUUAAUACAUUUGUUUUGAAUAAAUGAGGCAAAUUCUCACUUCCAAAUGUUUCCAAGUUCAUAUUUAGAGAUACCUUAAACUCAGGGUCCUAGAAUGAAUUUAUUAUCUUCCCCUACAAAACUGCUUUCCAUCUUUUG